AUCAUCAAAACAUAUUGGAUAUCUUAUAAAUUAAAUUCAUUUAUCACUUAUAAUUUAAACAGUCUCAUAAUUUAGUUUUGGCGAAAGUUCACACCAGAAAGAAAAAUCCCAUGGAGGUAAAAAAAAUAAAAAUGGUUCUGCUGAAUGUUCCUGUGAAGAGCAAAUAAGUAGUCAGUCCUGCACGGCUUCUUCACGUUGUGUCCCCACACACAAGUCACACAACUGAGAACAUACUCCAUCUGUCUCAGUCAAUUGGAGGCGUUUCUUUUUCACUGCAUGCAUUUUAAGACUCCUAUAUAACAAGCUACCAGAUUCCCUAAUGAUUUUCUCCAUGACAUCGCAGUAGAAGUAAAUCCAACUAUUCCACCUACAAUCAAUAACAAAGAAUUAGACCACGAAAUCGACUAUGCACAGAGUACACACUCUCAAUCCAAGAUCAACAUAACCAUUUCACUAAGCUUAUUCUGACUUAUAAGUCAAAACUCCAGGAUCAAGAUAACUACUUAACUAAGCUUGUUAGUGUGUGUAAAGACAGAGCAAUGCUAGUACCCCAUGGGAGGAGUAUUGCCUGUUGGAAUAUUUGUUUAAUCUAAACUUGUGUUAAAAUAAAUUAUUGUUAGCAGGUGGUUUAGUUUGUAUGUAUUAGCAGGAGAGAUAUGAUAGGAGAGUCAUGGGUAGUUGAAGUAUUUUAGGAGUCCACUACGUUAGUUGCUAUUUUUGUGUUACCACCUUGUGCCUGUAGUUCUAUUUAAAUUGCAUGUAUCUUGUUUAGUUCAUUAUUAGAAGAAGAGAAUACAAUGUAGUCUUUAUGUAUCUUCUCCGUUUAUUCAUAUAAAACUACAAUCUCUAUAUCCUUAUUAUUAUUUUUAUCAAAUUUCAACAUGGUACCAGAGCUUGGGGGAGUAUCAAUGUGACGCCCCCAGAUCCGCAUUCCGCAGAUUUGGUCCAUCACUAUANUGUGACGCCCCCAGAUCCGCAUUCCGCAGAUUUGGUCCAUCACUAUACAUCUGGCCCAAAACAAAACUUCCAUUACAUAUUUAAGAUUACACAAUCCAACUCUUGCCCCACAAGUCCAGGGUCGAUCGUCUUACAACAUUACUAUCAGGUCUAUCUUGAUUACAUAUUUGCAAGUCCGAUUACAGACCAUUAUAAUAACUAUAGUUGUACUACCAAACAACGUAGUCUAGCAGCCUCAGCUUGUGUGAUGAGCCUUUUCCUUGCCUAUGCCAAAACCCGUUUCCGGGCAAAUCUCUUGGGUUGUGCCAAUCUCACUGCUCAAAAGAAUAUAAAGUAGAUACAAGAAUGAGCAAUCAAAUUGCUCAGCAAGUCAACAUAUCACAGAAUAACAAAUAACAAGAUAUGCAAAUAAGCCAUCGAAAGCAUAUCAAAUCAAAGCAACAAAACAGUUAUCAUCAAACGACAAAACAAUGUCAAGUAAAGGAACUGCUGGUCUUCCACCUCUCGGUAACACUACAUGGCUCGAUCAACACCAUUUCGUGAAUACCGUUCUCCUGUGUAGUCCUAGUGGUCUGAUCGUAACCACUGAAGACACACCAACACUCUCUUUGCUAGCAUCAGGGUUUAACACUGGAACCCCACUAUCUGCCUUACCAGAUAGUAAAUUUCAACUCUACCACGAAUUUAAUAAAUUCGUGUUGACCAGCUUGAACCGAUUCCUCCGAAUACAAGGAAAUUUUCCCAAACAAACACUUCUCAAUCAUCACUGCUAAUUUUUAUCAAAAAAGUGCGAACAAUGCACCCUUUCGUCAUUACAAAGAUUACCCGAAGGUAGAAGUGAAAGAUAAUUAAAAUAAUUAGAUUCCAAAAGAUAAGAUGAUCUCCAAAAAGAGUAAAUUGAGAUCAUCGCUGCCAAGUAUUCACAUCAAGCUUCGAAGAUUCAAAAUAUUAUCGUUAUAGGAUCAACUCAUUCCCGAACAAUGGGAGAGCUCGAAUUAUAUAAAAUAAUAUGUGAGCAAUAUCUUUAAAGCCUUCAAAAUGAAGCAGAGAUAUUUUCUCGAUUCACAAUGAUACGAAAUGUAAUAUUUUCACAAUCAACACUUUUCACAAAAUAUGAAAUAGGCACGAAAAACUUCACAUCAAGACAGGGAUAGUGAACUUGCCUGUCGUCCUUAGCUUGAUAAUAUUCUUGUAAUUAUCACGUAUAAUCGGUUUCAUCCUUCCGAAUAUUCAAUUUCUAAUUCACGUAAAAUAAUACUUUAAUAUCUCAUCAAAGAAAACAAAAAUGCCAAAAUAAUCUAUAUUAUGAAUCCGACAAAUAAUAUUAAGAAUUUGAUAGGAUAUCUAUCUCAUUUUCUUUUACACUGUAAACUAACAUAUUGUAUGUGUACAUGUAGUAGAUACACUUAUUUAAGUCCAGAGCCUAACUUUCUUUUAUCAACUACUAAAUAAAUCGUUUAUAUAGUCCAUAUUUGAUUAUUUAUUAAUGCUAUCUCUAUUUAAUUUUUAAACAAUUAUUCCACUUAUAUUUCGUUCCCCACAUUCCAUUUCUACUAAUCCAAGAAAUUUGUGGUUCAUCAUCACUUAUUCAUAUUUACUAAAUAAACAUCUAUCUGUCUAUUUAACAUCAAAAUCCUACACUCUCUAAUUAAUUCUACGUAUUCCUUUACCAACACUUAUUCACCAACCCAUUUAAUAAAUCGAUAAAUUAAAUAUAAAAAUCAUCUCCGCAUCCCCAAUUUAUUACCUCACAAUUAUUUUUAAUAAAUUCAUUUUAUAUUCUUAACUCAAAAUUAUUAUUAUUAUCAUUAUUCUCUCUCACAAAAUUUUAAUAUAUACCACCCCUCUCCCUUCUUCCUUUCCAUUGCCUCACACCUCCUCCUUUAACAACCUAUUCUGCUUAAUCAAUCAGCACAACCAAAACAGUUAAGUUAUUUAACCAAACUCAAAAUUCUUAAAUAGAAGACAUAAAACUCGUGUAUUAAUUAUUUUCAUGGCUCCUAUUUAAAUAGCUUUUAUUGAAUAAAAGAUGGGCUAUAAAUAUUCAAUAUUACCAUUAAUCAAAGAUAGAAAGAGAAUAUACCUUGAUGAUGGAUUCUGAUUCUUCUUUACUGUCUUGAGUUUUACUUGCUUUGGUACCUCCUGAAUUUGCCAAACUAAAACUAAACAACGUGUUUGGUAUUUAUACUAAUCAUAAAUCAUGGUUAAGAUUUAAUUUACCUUGGUUAACAAUUACUUGGGCACUACUCUUUGGUUUUUAAGUACCUGGUUUUGAUAAACCAAUGUGCCACAAACCACCCCAUUAGUCGGUUAGCUAGUUUUGUUAAAAUAUUUUUUUUUUAUUUAUUUAUAUAUUCUUUUUAUUUGCCCGUAUAUUAAAUGUUUCGCAACUGGAAAUAUUUUAGCCCCGGGUCAUUUAACAACUUCCUAUUUAAAUAUUUUAAUAAAAAAUAUCAUUCGGGAUUAUACUAAAUAAUUAAUUAAAUAAUUAUUCUAGUAUUUCUCUAAAUAUUUCAAAAUUUAAUAGUUAUAACGAAAUAUUUCUUUUAGCUAAACCCGUAAAAUUUAUAAUAUUCCCGGGCCAUAACAAAAUUAUACAUCUACCAAUUUAUUUACGUGGCCAACAUUUAGAUCCUAAUGGUACGAAAAUGGAUUUAAUUUGCUAGCCGAUAUAAACAAACCUCGUACUAGCCUGAAAUGUUUUACGUACCAAUAUUUUUAUUAAAUAAUAAUUUCACAAUUAUUUAAAUGAUAGCUUUAACCGCAUAAAAUUAAAUAAUUAAUUUGUUUACGUACUUGAAAUUUUACGGUUGUUACAUUCUUCCCUCGUUUAAAGGAUUCCGACCUCGGAAUCAGAUUUGAUGCUGAAACAACUCGGGAUACUUCUCUUUCAUUACUUCUUCCAGUUCCCACGUGGCUUCUUCUACAGUUUGAUUUCCCCAAAUUACUUUAAACAUUUUCACUUUCUUAUUUCUUAAUUCCUGAAACUUAGACUCCACAAUUUCCAAAGGCUUUUUUUUUUCAUAUGUUAAAUCAGACUGAAGGUUAAUCGGCUCCUAAUUUAGAACAUGCUGAAUAUCAGUCUUGUAAGCUUUCAAAAGAGAUACAUGAAAUACAUCAUGAAUAUGUUGUAGAUCUGGAGGUAAAGCUAAUUGAUAAGACACGACUCCAACUUUUCUUAGAAUCUCGAAGGUUUCGAUUUAUCUUGGAUUCAAUUUUCUUUUCUUUCCAAACCUGAUUAUUCCUUUCCAAGAUGAUACUUUCAAAAGUAUUUUUCCCCAACUUCAAAUGUCAUUUCUUUUCUUCCUAAGUCUGCAUAUUUCUUUUGCCUGUCUUGAGCUUCAACUAACCUUUUGUGUAUCUUCUCGAUCAAUUGUGUAGUUUGCUGAACAAGUUCCGGUCUUAAUAACUUUUUCUCUCCCACUUCCUCCCAAACAAGAGGCGAUCUACAUUUUCUACCAUAUAAUGUCCAUAAGGCGCCAUUCCAAUAUUAGCAUGGUAGCUGUUAUUGUAUGCAAACUCCACCAAAGGCAAGUGAUCAUCCCAACUUCCUUUAAAAUCUAAUGAACAAUUAAUAACUUUUUCUCUCCCACUUCCUCCCAAACAAGAGACGAUCUACAUUUUCUACCAUAUAAUGUUCCAUAAGGCGCCAUUCCAAUACUAGCAUGGUAGCUGUUAUUGUAUGCAAACUCCACCAAAGGCAAGUGAUCAUCCCAACUUCCUUUAAAAUCUAAUGAACAAGCUCUUAACAUAUCCUCUAUAGUUUGUAUUGUUCUUUUACUUUGCCCAGCUGUUUGUGGGUGAUAUGCAGUUCUCAAAUUAAGCUUAGUCCCAAAACACUCUUGAAAAGCUUGCCAGAAUCUUGAAGAAAAUCUUGCAUCUCUGCUUGAAACAAUUGACACUGACACUCCAUGUCUGGUCACGACCUCAUUCAUAUAUAGCUUUACUAAUCUCUUCAUGGUGUACUUUUCACUAAUAGGAAGAAAAUAUGCUAAUUUCGUCAACCUAUCUACAAUUACCCAAAUAGCAUCAUGAUUAGCUCGAGUCUUUGGCAAUCUAACUAUAAAGUCCAUGGUGAUGUGUUCCCAUUUCCAUUCUGGAAUCUCUAAUGGCCGCAAUAAUCCGUUAGGUCUUUGGUGCUCUGCUUUCACUUUUUGACAAGUCAGACAUUUACUCACCCACUCAGCUAUUUCUCUUUUCAUGUUAGGGGACUAAUAGUUUCUCUUAAAUUAUUGGUACGUCUUAGUACUUUCCUGGUGUAUUGAAUAUCUCGAUUCAUGAGCUUUACUAAAAAAUAUCUCUUUUAAGAUCAAACAGGUUAGGAAUCCAAAUUCUUUUAGCAAAUCUCAUAAUUCCUUUCUCAUAUUUCACUUAAAUUCUCAUCGUUAGUAAAUUCAAAAUGUCUUUCUUUAAUUAUCAACUCUUGAAUUUGUUUUAUUAUUUUCAAGUAUCUCUGGCUGCACUUAUAUCUCAAAAAUCCUUCCAUCCUUAUGCUCUGAAUCCUUAAUCUUCAAUCCUAGAUUUUCCAUAUUCUUAAUCAAUUUCUUUAAUCAAGACAUCACAUUAAUUCUCUCCUUUCUACUUGACGCGUCAUCAACUACCUUAGCCUUCCCUGGGUGAUAGUUAAUUGUACAAUCAUAGUCUUUUAUCAAUUAUAACCAUCUACUUUGUCUCAUAUUCAAUUCUUUCAGAGCAAACCGUAUUUUUAAGUUCUUACGAUCCGUAAAUAUCUCACACUUCUCACCAUACAAGGAAUGUCGCCAAAUCUUUAAAGAAAACAUUAUAGCAGCUAACUCUAGGUCAUGUGGGGUAUCUCAGCUCGUGAGCCUUAAGUUCCCUAGAAGCAUAUGCUAUCAUCUCUCCAUGUAUGUAUAAGAACACAUCUAAGUCCUUGAUGAGAUGCAUCGCUAUAAACCCACAAAAUAUCAUGUCUCAUUAUGUAAGGUUAAUACAAGGGCCAUUGUAAGCCGCUUCUUUAAUUCUUGAAAACUUUCCUCGUACUCAGGUAUCCACUCAAAAUUCUCUUCGUUUCUAGUCAACUUAGUCAAAGAAGUCUCAAUCUUAAAGAAAUCUUUCAAAAAUAUUUUAUAAUAUCCUGCUAAAUCAAGAAAACUUCUCACUUUGGUUGGGGUUCUUAGUCUUUUCCAAUUUGAUAAUGCCUCAAUCUUCGCGGGUAUACCAAUAUUCCUUUCUUAAAAACUAUAUGCCCUUAAAAACUAUACUUGCUUUAUCAAAAUUCUCAUUUUGAAAAUUUUGCAGAUAACUUUUCUUUCCUCAAAAUUUUCUAAGUUACUCUAAGAUGCUCAACAUGUUUUUCUUUCGUCUGAGAAUAUAUUAUAUAUCAUCAAUAAAACAAUAACGAACUUAUCCAAAUAUUUCUUCAAUACUCUAUUCAUAAGAUCCAUAAUUGUUAUAGGUGCAUUAGUCAAUCCGAAAGGCAUCUCUUAAGAACUCACAAUGUUCAUGUCGGGGCCUAAAGACCGUCUUAGGUACAUUCUCAGACCCGAUUCUGUAACUGAUGAUAUCCAGAUCUCGUGUCUAUCUUAAAAAAAUAAGAUGCUUUCCUCAACAACUAAAACAAUCAUCAACCCUAGGCAAGGGUCAUCUUGUUAAAUCUCAAUAAUCGAUGUAACAACCCUCAAAUCCGGGGGUCUGGAUUUGACACCUCCAUACAACACCUUUACAAAACAACUUAGGAAAAAUUGCGUUUUUGAAAAGAACAAAAUCAAACAAUUUGAUAUCUGAGCAUUUCGAGAAGAAUUUAAAGGAAAUCGGAAUUUUUUUAAAACUCUCUUGGACAUAUAGAAGUCUUUCACAAUGGUAUCACUGAUCACUGAGUUUUCAAAGUAGCUCUCAUUUGAAAUAAAAGGAUGAUUGGGAGCCCAAUACGAUCAAAUGAACUAAGUGUUGCGUGUCCAAAUUAAGACACUACUAAAGGUUGUUAACCUUCUUGUAAUUACAACACACACACAAGUGAUGGCGUCCCAUCCAACUCCUAUCACACAGAUAGGUAUACCUUGUGUCCCCUAUAAUUAGGGUUGUUCAUCCCAAUCAGAUUGAAGAAAUAUCAAGGAAUAUUUAUUUCAAAGAUUUGCUUUUGAAUCGUUAUUUCACAAUUUGGGCAACCUUGAUCUACCAUAAUUAUUUCUCAACACACUUCUUCCAAGGAAUGCGAGCAAUGCAUCCUUUAAUCACAAUUCAAGGAUUUUCAGUGGAUAAAAUAAGAAAUAGGAUCAAAUAUGAGACGAUCUCUUAGAAUUAUUAUAUUGAGAUCAUCAUUGUGGUGUAUAUUUAUUCCAAUUCUCGACUAUUAAAUCAUGAAUCACAAAAGAUAAGACGAUCUCUUAGAAUUAUUAUAUUAAGAUCAUCAUUGUGGUGUAUAUUUAUUCCAAUUCUCGACUAUUAAAUCAUGAAUCACAAAAGAUUUUGUAACAUCAAAGAAAUAUUGAUUAUUAGGAGUAGUCGCUUCCGAACAAAGAAAGGACUCAAGAUACAUCAUAAACUUCUCAGUUUUCAAAAUGAGAAAUGAUGUCAACUUGAGCAGAAACAGUGUGAAAUGUAAUAUUAUUCAUAAAUAGCGUAUUCCACAGAUCCGUACUCAAGCAACGAGAGUCUUCCUUAUAACACAUUUGCGGUUUGCGAAAUUCUACAUCUUUGAUUUGCUUCUACUUUACCUAUAUCCUUCACUCGCGACAUCUCUUACAAAAGGUUUCUUCACAACAUAAGUCCAAGGUUUCUUUCCAUCAUUUUGAUUAUUUUGCGUGGGUUUCCGCCUUCGACUAACUUACUUUUUGGUUAAACAACUCACUAAUACAAGCUUUGUGCACUAAUGUCGCAUAACUAGAAAUCUCGAGAACAACAACUCUAUUCUAAAUCCAGGGGUUUAAGCCCGGCUGAAAAACGUCUAGUUUUUCAGUUUUUUUUUUUUUUUUUUCGGUAUAUACUUGAUGCGGAAUAAAUUUCGAAAGUUCGAUAAACUUAGCUUCGUACUCAGCUAUUGACAUAUUCUCUUGCUUGAGCUUUAGCAAUUUGAGCUCCAUUUGAUUCUCUAGGUGUUUAGGUAAAUACUUUUCUAGGAAUAACUUUGUAAACCUGGUCCAUGACAUCACGCUAGAAUCUUCUAGGACUUGCUUAACUUCCCACCAAUAAUUAGACUCUUCAUAAACAUCAAAAUUAAUUUUCUUAUCAUCUUCUAUACCAACUAUUUCAAAAUCUUAGCCAUAUCUUGGCUUCAACAGGAUCAACAUCCCCUUUUAAACUCUUGUGGUGGCAAAAAUUUGAAAGAUUUGAAUGAAAAGGUAGGUUUUGACUCGAAGAAUUUCUUUCGGGAUUGUUUUGAAAAUUUUAGGUAUGUUGUUGAAGAAAAUCAACAAGUAAUUGAACAGGAUUGGGUCUGGGUUGAAAUCCAGGUGAAGCAUCUAGUAUUGAUUCAUAAAAAGAGUUGUCAUUCAGGUUCGAAUUCAAAUAUAUAAAAGUGAACAAAAUAGGUUUCAUCAUUAUACAAAAUUACAAGAUUUAUUUAAAGGUACAACAAUGUGCAAUUUUGAAAAAUUCACAGUAUAUAAUUUUUGAAAACAGGUUCCACAUUUUGGUUGAAAAUACAAGUUGUACCAAAGUUGCAUAUUUUUGAAAACUUUUAGAAACUUUAAAGGUUGUACCUUUUCUUUUGAAAACUCUAAAACUUUAGAAACUUGAACGUUUCUCUUUUUUUUUUUUUUUUUUUUUUGAAAACCUCGAAAAAGAAAAAAAAAACUUUAAAAGGUUGAGUAAAUAUAAUCAUAAAAAUUUCACAUUGGAUCAUUGAGGUAGCAGAUGCAAGAUAGGUUGACAGGAGUGAAACAGGUUAAAAGUAGUUGACAAGUGCAAGAAGCAUAGGGAAAGUAUAGACAAAGAAAGAGACACCAAUAUGACAACAAGAUUGAUCAUUCUUCCCAAAGUGGUCAUAAUAUCUGAAGCUUUUAGAGUACAAGUCAUGAUAUAGAAGUAUAUCUGAUCUGGUCAUCACCCUACUAUAUCAAAUUUAAUCUGGACACCACUAUACAAAAGAUCACUUUAUAUAAAUCUCUACUACCAAAAUGAUCUACUGAUCGAAACUGUAGCAUCUGUUUCUCAAUAAAAGGAAGUGAACAAUUCUCCAUCCCGAUACUAUACAAAAGUAUCUACAUAUCCUCUAUAAUAUACCAUAAUUGAGAUACACACGGACUACAUGUGUUCUUUCCCAAAAGUCAAAUUAUACUUACAUAUCCUCUAGAUACAUAAUAUACCAUAAUUGAGAUACACACGGACUACAUGUGUUCUUUCCCAAAAGUCAAAUUAUACUUAAAACAACAAAUAUAUCAACCAGAUAUCCCUGAGAUCCUACGGUGGAACUCUGAAAAGGUUCUAUUUAUCAGUGUUGUAAAAAGUUUAACAUUUACAUAUCCUGAGCUGAUGGAGGGUAUUUCACAGAUAUUAGCAUGAAGUCCCUCAAAUAUAGAAAUAGAAAUUUUAUACAUAAUCCCCCAUGCUAAAUACUCGGGUCAAAAAUCCUGAACCCGCAGAACAAANAUGCUAAAUACUCGGGUCAAAAAUCCUGAACCCGCAGAACAAACAUAGGGUCGUGAGAUCCUGGAAUCCAAACUCUAGAGUCAUAAGUAGACUCUCUCAACAACUGGUAUUGAUGGAACAAAGAAAGUGGCACAUAGUCGCCACCUGAUGGUACAGAAACUGGUGCGUCGAAAGAUCCACUAAUUUGACAAAGAGUGGUCUGAGGUGCAGAAACUGAAAUGGUGGAUAUGAAAGUAAAUGGUACACAAGUCUUUGACAUGGUAGUAAAAAAAAAAGUGUAAUUCGAACUCGAGGUUCAGAUAUGGUGUAAACAUGGGGGUGACCCCUCAAAGGUGUUAUAGAAGCAUUUCCAAUCAAAGAUGACACAACGGUCCCAAAAUGAUAACUAUCAAAAGUAUGUGUGAUAAUAGGUCUAUAAGAAAGAGGUGUAGGCUCGAAAUGCCGAAACAAGUCCAAAAUGGAAGGGUCUCAACUCUCAUAAACAGGUGGGGAAACAGUACCGAUGGAAGUCGAAAAGGAAGUGGUCAAAGUAGGAACACAAGUCAACUCACGUAAGGAUGGAAAGAUUUUCAUCCAUUGCUCUUAGUAAACUCAAAAGAUUCUCUAUCCUUGAUCUCCUUCAUUGCUCUUAGUAAACUCAAAAGAUUCUCUAUCCUUGAUCUCCUUAGAUACCAGGUUAAUGAUCUCAGGUGAUGAUGACUCUAAUAUCUGUAUAGAAGUAUUCUCAUACUCGCUAUCUAUCAUCUCAAUAUCCAUCGGUGGAUUAAAAUCAGCCUCGUAACCUGACAUCUAUACAAAAACAUCAUUACUAAUAGUCACAUCUACGAUUGCUCAUAACUAUAAAUAUUUAUAUAUAUAGGGUCUACUACCCUUUGCUAAAAGUUUACUUAACACGUAUGCAAUAUAACAUAAGAAGAUAUGUUCAACUAGGGCACCUAUCUUAAACUUCAUAUCAUUCUCGCUCGUUAUAUUCCUAGGGUUUCUCAAAUCCUAAGGAUAUAACUAUAGCUCUGAUACCAACUCUGUGACGCCCCCAGAUCCGCAUUCCGCAGAUUUGGUCCAUCACUAUACAUCUGGCCCAAAACAAAACUUUCAUUACAUAUUUAAGAUUACACAAUCCAACUCUUGCCCCACAAGUCCAGGGUCGAUCGUCUUACAACAUUACUAUCAGGUCUAUCUUGAUUACAUAUUUGCAAGUCCGAUUACAGACCAUUAUAAUAACUAUAGUUGUACUACCAAACAACGUAGUCUAGCAGCCUCAGCUUGUGUGAUGAGCCUUUUCCUUGCCUAUGCCAAAACCCGUUUCCGGGCAAAUCUCUUGGGUUGUGCCAAUCUCACUGCUCAAAAGAAUAUAAAGUAGAUACAAGAAUGAGCAAUCAAAUUGCUCAGCAAGUCAACAUAUCACAGAAUAACAAAUAACAAGAUAUGCAAAUAAGCCAUCGAAAGCAUAUCAAAUCAAAGCAACAAAACAGUUAUCAUCAAACGACAAAACAAUGUCAAGUAAAGGAACUGCUGGUCUUCCACCUCUCGGUAACACUACAUGGCUCGAUCAGCACCAUUUCGUGAAUACCGUUCUCCUGUGUAGUCCUAGUGGUCUGAUCGUAACCACUGAAGACACACCAACACUCUCUUUGCUAGCAUCAGGGUUUAACACUGGAACCCCACUAUCUGCCUUACCAGAUAGUAAAUUUCAACUCUACCACGAAUUUAAUAAAUUCGUGUUGACCAGCUUGAACAGAUUCCUCCGAAUACAA
rnacentral:lncRNA from 1 species